UACGAAGGGGGCUAGCGUUGCUCGGAAUCACUGGGCGUAAAGGGUGCGUAGGCGGGUCUUAAGUCAGGGGUGAAAUCCUGGAGCUCAACUCCAGAACUGCCUUUGAUACUGGGAGUCUCGAGUUCGGGAGAGGUGAGUGGAACUGCGAGUGUAGAGGUGAAAUUCGUAGAUAUUCGCAAGAACACCAGUGGCGAAGGCGGCUCACUGGCCCGAUACUGACGCUGAGGUGCGAAAGCGUGGGGAGCAAACAGG
rnacentral:rRNA from 1 species